UAUUAAAAUUUCAAAUUGCAAUAUUUUAAAUAUAUAUUACAUUAUAAAUUGAAUUAGAAAAAUCUAAAUAUUAAAUUCCAAAUAUUGAAAUUUCAAUUUGAUAUAUUAAAAUUUAAAUUUUAAGCUUCAAUAUUUUUUAUUCUAAAUUUAAAUUUAAAUUUUGAAUAAUAAAAAAUAGUCUAUUCAAGAGGUUUUAAAAAUUACAUAAAUUUUUCGCAGCGAAGCGCGGGCCUUCACUAGUAUAUAUAAUGGAAGAGGGAGAG
rnacentral:lncRNA from 1 species